GUCAAUGUUUCAAAAAUGAAAUAUCAUGAAGAAUUUUAAAACUUUUGUGAAGAGAAUACAGUAGUAAGACUAUUCUACUGUGGACUAUGCGAUAAAAAAUACAAGCACUACCAAUCCCUUUACAACCAUCGAAAAUUUGAAUGUGGAAAGGAUCCGUUUUUCAAAUGUCCUCAUUGCCCAUAUCGUGGAAAAAGAAAAACACAUCUGAAACAGCAUAUGCAGAAGAGACAUAAUAUGUUUUUUUGACACUUAUCAUGAAAGUAUAUCGAAAAAAAUAUUUGUUAGAGUUGACCAAUACAAAGCUAUAUACAUAUUACUUA